AUUGAACGCUGGCGGCAUGCCUUACACAUGCAAGUCGAACGGCAGCAUGAUCUAGCUUGCUAGAUUGAUGGCGAGUGGCGAACGGGUGAGUAAUACAUCGGAACGUGCCCUGUAGUGGGGGAUAACUAGUCGAAAGAUUAGCUAUUACGGCAUACGACCUGAGGGUGAAGGUGGGGGACCGCAAGGCUUCAUGCUAUCGGACGGGCCGAUUUGUGAUUAGCUAGUUGGUGAGGUAAAGGCUCACCAAGGCGCGGAUCAGUAGCUGGUCUGAGAGGAAGAUCAGCCACACUGGGACUGAGACACGGCCCAGACUCCUACGGGAGGCAGCAGUGGGGAAUUUUGGACAAUGGGCGAAAGCCUGAUCCAGCAAUGCCGCUUGUGUGAAGAAGGCCUUCGGGUUGUAAAGCACUUUUGUCCGGAAAGAAAUGGCUCUGGUUAAUACCUGGGGUCGAUGACGGUACCGGAAGAAUAAGAACCGGCUAACUACGUG
rnacentral:rRNA from 1 species